UGUUGAAAACCACGAAACAUUAGGGUAGUAAACAGUCUUUUACCCUAAAAAUAAAUACAAAUCAUCGCUUUAGGUUUGAGCCUUGAACAUGCCCAAUGUUUAUUCUCAGUCCAAAUAAAAGUAGUGCAAAUUCAAAAGCCGAACUGCAUGUAUAAGUCAAGUGUUAGGUUCAAGGUAGCAGCAGCUUUGGAUACCUGAGAUAUAUGUGAUAGGUUGCAAGACAACUUUGUAGUUAAUGAUUCAAUCAAUGAAGUUCUAAACUUGUAAUGAUGCACAUGCUGUUUUUGAUGAAAGUGCCCUGUAAAUUUAGAAUUUCGAUAGUUAGUGGGCCAUUUAAUGACAACGAAAGAGCCCAAUAGAGCCGCUUUAAAUCCAGAUCUAAACAGAGGGGUAAUUUUGUAACUUCAUUUGAAACCCUAAGUUGGUAACGCUAUAUAAUGAUGGUUAGAGAUGGUGAAACCGAUCAGACGGCAGCCUUCCUCUCCUAUCCUCUCCUCUUUGUCCCUUUUCUCUCUCCCAACACAAAUCUCUCUCCAAUGCCGUGUACAGAAAAAAAAUUGUGUUGAGGCCUUAACAGCCUAAGAAAUUGAAAACAAAUAUGAUAUCAAAUACUCAUCCUCAGAAAUUGAUAACAAGCAAAUUUGUAUCAUUUGAUAUUAUGCUUGUUUUCGGUUUCUGUGUUUGCACAUUUGAUGCUAUGCUUGUUCUCUAUUUCAGAAGUUGUGGAUCUGAAAUUUUUUUCCUUGUAUCAGCUUUUUACAUUUUUUAUUAUAUUUAUUUGUUUUUACAUGCUCUUAUUACUCGUUCAGAUCGGCGGGGAGUCGAGGACUCUGGACCGUAGAACUAUCCAGAUCGGACGGAUCGUGAGUGAGAUUUAGUCUCUUAUAAAUAUAGGCGCAGUAAAUUUCAGGAACCGUAACAAAUGUUACAAAUCGAUCCCGCGCAUUCGGUCCUGUGCAAGAACUCGCGCAUUCGCUCUUGCAUCUCUCGCAUUCGUUCGCGCAUUCGAUCUCCUUUGACAUGGUAGAUCCCUCUCUCCUCUCUCCCUCGCCUCUCUCUCCCUUCCUCCCUGACGUGCUAUGCUAUUUGAUUUAGGAUUUAGGUUAUUUUGUUUUGCUAAUUAGGUGUCUGCAAUUGUCGCUGCUAUUUUGCGUUGGGUGGCAUCUGCUUUUGAUGCGAUCGAUUUCGAUCCCCUCGCAAGGCACAUGUAAGAUUACCUGUUGAAUUCUUUUUGGAUAUCUUAUAUUUUCAACCUUAUCAGAUCUAAUUUGAUAUUUAAUUUGGACUGAGUUCUAAUGCAAAUUGGAAUUUUUAUCGCAUUUCAGAUGAAAAAACUGAACUUAAUUGUUUUGAUGUUAAAUGUGACAUGUUUUUUAUUUAUCAGAUUGACAUGACAUCUUCAGGAUUUUUUAUUGUUUUGUUUAGACUUGUUUUUAGCAUAUGAUAUCUAAGCGAAGUAUCUUUUUUUAGGUACUACGUGAUCGGUGUCAUCGUUUGUCCUUGCUGUUUCUAUCGUUGUCCUUGCUGUUGCUGUUAUGUGGAGGGUUUUUCGAGCCCCCAACUCUAAAUUUUUUGAUUGUCUCUAGCCUUUCCUAGGGCCGUUUUCAGCGGUAUCUGCGUUUGCUUAGAGGUGUAGUCAAACUCUACAGAUAUGGGUGCACAACCAUUGUUUCCUUAAUUCCAAAUACCAUAUCCCUGCUAUGCCAGUCUCUUUCUGCAGAUUCUUUUUUCGCAGGUUUUCUAGUAAGUUGUUCCCACUCUCAUUUUCUAUUCAUUUGUUGAUAUCUAGGUUCUGACUUUUAUUUUUGUUAUUUUAGUUUACGAUAGUCGUAGUUGUUGCCACUAUCAUUGGACAUUUAGGGUCUCAAUUGGCUUUUCCUGCCCCUACCCGAUCUAUUUCCGCUUCACGAGCAACAGGACCUUUCGGAAGAAUGGCUAGUAGCCCGCGAAGCGCAACUGGAUAAACACUGCAACCGGUUUUGAGGUUCCUGCGGAACGUGCCUAGUUGCUAGCGAAUUGCAGGUGUCGUGGUGGUGGCUGGAGCUGCAGGGGUUGCAUUAAGGAAUCCUAUACAUACUACAUAGCCACCGCUUUCACUUAUGCUUGGCAUCCAGCCGCUUGUUGGAGCUAAAGAAGCCAUCAACGAUGCAAUUCUUGGGAUCGGACUCUUCCUCCUCAGCUGUGCAGUCAGGUCUCAACAGCCAAAUGGAACCAACAGUGCCAUACUUCAAAGAGCCCAUGGUGCAGCAGCUUCCCAGCCCAGUUGAAAAUAUGAACUUUUUGCUCCCAUUUCCUGGCUUCCCAACAAUUCCCAAAAUCCCUUCAAUUCCCCCAUUCCCAUUCCCAUUCCCAACCAUGCCUUCAGUUAAUAAUCCUUUUGCUCCUCUACGGCCACCAGUGCUGGCUAAGAUUUCAGACCCAGUGAUUCCAACCAAGGAGGCAACAACCACCCCAUGAAUUACCUUUGUUGUAGGCACGGCAAUUUCUUUUUUUUUUUUACUACUCCUAGCAAGCUAGUUCAUAUUGUGUGUUCUCAAAUUGCAGCUUGAUUUAGUGAUGAUUCACCUUUUUUUUCCUUUCAAUGUUUUAGAGAUGAUGUUAACUUCAUCUUUUUAGCUAUAAUGCACUCAAUCUAUUGAUGACUCAUUGUUCCUCAAUUACUCAUACCACAGGCUGAUAUCAUAAGUACUUUUUUCAA